AUUGAACGCUGGCGGCAGGCCUAACACAUGCAAGUCGAACGAGUGGCGGACGGGUGAGUAAUGUCUGGGAAACUGCCCGAUGGAGGGGGAUAACUACUGGAAACGGUAGCUAAUACCGCAUACCAUCGGAUGUGCCCAGAUGGGACUAGCUAGUAGGUGAGGUAAUGGCUCACCUAGGCGAAGAUCCCUAGCUGGUCUGAGAGGAUGACCAGCCACACUGGGACUGAGACACAGACCAGACUCCUACGGGAGGCAUCAGUGGGGAAUAUUGCACAAUGGGCGCAAGCCUGAUGCAGCCAUGCCGCGUGUAUGAAGAAGGCCUUAGGGUUGUAAAGUACUUUAAGUUGGGAGGCGUUACCAACAGAAUAAGCACCGGCUAACUUCGUGCCAGCCGCCGCGGUAAUUC
rnacentral:rRNA from 1 species